rnacentral:rRNA from 1 species
AUUGAACGCUGGCGGCAGGCCUAACACAUGCCAGUCGAGCGGAUGAAGGGAGCUUGCUCCUGGAUUCAGCGGCGGACGGGUGAGUAAUGCCUAGGAAUCUGCCUGGUAGUGGGGGAUAACGUCCGGAAACGGGCGCUAAUACCGCAUACGUCCUGAGGGAGAAAGUGGGGGAUCUUCGGACCCCACGCUAUCAGAUGAUCCUAGGUCGGAUUAGCUAGUUGUUGGGUUAAAGGCCUACCAAGGCGACGAUCCGUAACUGGUCUGAGAGGAUGAUCAGUCACACUGGAACUGAGACACGGUCCAGACUCCUACGGGAGGCAGCAGUGGGGAAUAUUGGACAAUGGGCGAAAGCCUGAUCCAGCCAUGCCGCGUGUGUGAAGAAGGUCUUCGGAUUGUAAAGCACUUUAAGUUGGGAGGAAGGGCAGUAAGUUAAUACCUUGCUGUUUUGACGUUACCAACAGAAUAAGCACCGGCUAACUUCGUG